AUUAUGUUCAGAGAUGCUCAAUCUACUUUGUAUACAAGUAGCAUUAUAUAAAUAAUUCCAUGGAUAUUAUAAUAUGUAAUAUCUCAAACCACAGUUUACAUUUGCCUAAUCAACUCAUUAACUUAUCAGCUCCAAACACAUUUAACACUGAGCAGCAAUUGUCCAUGGCAGGCUAUUGCUUGCUAUUCUCAGCUGCCAGACGAAGGAAUGCUAAAAAGAGCCUUUGUAGAUUGGGAAACCUAUGCUUUAAAAGAAAUGACGCUGCCUACAAGGAACACAGAGCAGGCGUUUUUAGAACAAGAGUUCCAGAUUCCUGUGACUCAGGGAUGACUAUGAUAUUGGGAAUCUCAAGUGCUGGGAAAUUCAAACUCAGUAUGAGGAGAGAGGACAACCUCAGCUCAAUAGUAAAGAUACAAUUGGCCCAGCCACAAAAGUCGACAGAACCUGAAAUGCCAGUUGAUAUCCACGUCUCAACUUUAUUCUGA
rnacentral:lncRNA from 1 species